ACACACACACACAUACACAGUCAGACACACACACACACAUACACAGUCAGACACAAACACACACACACAGUCAGACACACAGUCAGACACAAACACACACAGACACACACAGUCACAUACACACACACACACACAGUCAGACACAUACACAGACACAAACACAGUCAGACACAAACACACACACACACAGUCAGACACAUACACAGACACAAACACAGACACAAACACACACUCACAAACACACACAGUCAGACACAAACACACACACACAUUAACUUUUUUUUUUAUUUAAAUCCCCCCCCAACCUCCUUACCUUUGGGAGUGCU